GAAGGGGGCUAGCGUUGUUCGGAAUUACUGGGCGUAAAGCGCGUGUAGGCGGGUCUUUAAGUCAGGGGUGAAAUGCCAGGGCUCAACCUUGGAACUGCCUUUGAUACUGGGGACCUUGAGUCCGGGAGAGGUGAGUGGAAUUGCGAGUGUAGAGGUGAAAUUCGUAGAUAUUCGCAAGAACACCAGUGGCGAAGGCGGCUCACUGGGUCUCUUCUGACGCUGAGGAACGAAAGCUAGGGGAGCAAACGGGAUUAGAUACCCCGGUAGUCCACGCCGUAAACGAUGGAUGCUAGCCGUUGGCGAGCUUGCUCGUCAGUGGCGCAGCUAACGCUUUAAGCAUCCCGCCUGGGGAGUACGGUCGCAAGAUUA
rnacentral:rRNA from 1 species